AAUAUGGAAGGCUCAAACACGAAAAUGAUUCGUUGUCCUCAAACGAUAUUUGCCCCUUCUCGUAUACAAAUUUGGUGCUUAAAAGGUUUUAUGGCAAAUAGUUCGUAGGAUUGAUCAAGCCUUGUUGUAGAAAAUCACAAAAUCACAAAUGAUUUUUCCACCCGAAUCUUGAAGAACACUUGAAGAACAUGAAUAUGGAGG
rnacentral:lncRNA from 1 species